AUUGAACGCUGGCGGCAGGCCUAACACAUGCAAGUCGAGCGGAGCGGCGGCCGGGUGAGCAAUGCUUAGGAAUCUGCCUGGCAGUGGGGGAUAACGCCAGGAAACGGGCGCUAAUACCGCAUACUAUCAGAUGAGACUAGGUCGGAUUAGCUAGUUGGUGGGGUAAAGGCCUACCAAGGCGACGCCCAGUAACUGGUCUGAGAGGAUGAUCAUUCACACUGGAACGGAGACAGGGUCCAGACUCCUACAGGAGGCAGCAGUGGGAAAUAUUGGACAAUGGGCGAAAGCCUGAUCCAGCCAUGGCGCGUGUGUGAAGAAGGUCUUCGGAUUGUAAAGCACUUUAAGUUGGGAGGCGUUACCAGCAGAAUAAGCACCGGCUAACUUCGUGCCAGCCGCCGCGGUAAUAC
rnacentral:rRNA from 1 species